rnacentral:ribozyme from 12 species
AAAAACAAAAAAAAGGAAAAAUGGUUGGCUAUUUGUUAUGAUUCUCUUUUUUUUUUUUU